rnacentral:rRNA from 1 species
GAUCCUGGCUCAGGAUGAACGCUAGCUACAGGCUUAACACAUGCAAGUCGAGGGGCAGCAUGAACUUAGCUUGCUAAGUUUGAUGGCGACCGGCGCACGGGUGAGUAACACGUAUCCAACCUUCCCGUUACUCUGGGAUAGCCUUUCGAAAGAAAGAUUAAUACCGGAUAGUAUCGAGAGAUUGCAUGAUAACCCGAUUAAAGAUUCAUCGGUAACGGAUGGGGAUGCGUUCCGAUUAGA